UGAUGAUCUAUUAUUACCUCCUCGUGCACUUCCCCAAGACCUGCAGAUAAAAAGACAGAAUGGGCAUAUAAUAUCAUAUGAAGAAUCUUUGCAUUGCCUUUGAUUUUUCUUCAGGCUUUCCUGCUGGAUCAGAUUGAUUGCGUGGUUACAAACCCUCACCAAAUUAGGCAUCAGAGCAUCCACCCCCAGCUUUAUCUGGAAGCCUCACUUUCC
rnacentral:lncRNA from 1 species